rnacentral:misc_RNA from 1 species
GUGAGUCAUCGAAUCUUUGAACGCACAUUGCACCCUCUGGUAUUCCGGGGGGUAUGCCUGUUCGAGCGUCAUUACAACUCUCAAGCUCUGCUUGGUAUUGGGUGUCACCUAGCAAUUGUGGUGCAUCUCAAAAUCAGUGGCUGUGCCAUUGGGCCUCAAGUGUAGUAACAAUUUCUCGCUUUGGAGGUCUUGAUGUGUGCUUGCCAGUAACAAGGUUUUAAUGGUUGACCUCGGAUCAGGUAGGGAUACCCGCUGAACUUAAGCAUAUCAAUAAGCGGAGGA